rnacentral:lncRNA from 1 species
AUAACUUCCUUCGAAUAGAACAUUUGGAACACCAUCAAGAGUUUUUCAUACCUCUAGUAAAAUCACCAAACAUCAGGAGUCCCUUCCUAAGUUGUGAUACCAAACGCGUUGUCGAAGUCUUGCUUAAGAAUGCUCCGGGCACUUGGCUGUGGAAAGAGGAAUGAAAAUUGUAAUUAAAAAAUCUUAAUUCUAAUAAAAUAUUAAUAAUACUCUAAUUAGACCAUAAUAAUGCUAAGCAAGCUUAAUCAAAUUCAAAAAAAUCUCAAAGAAAUUUCAAACAAACAAUAAAAAUUCUUAAAAAAAUAUUAGAAAGAAUACAAAUAUCACUCAAAUACAUCUCAAUUCAAUCUUAAUUUAAUUCUAGUUAAAAUUCCAUUGAACUUCAUUUAAACUUUAGGCCAAAACUAAUUGAAUCUUAAAUCCUAAUAAAAUCCUAAACUCAAAUAAAAUCCUAAACAAACCUUAAACCAAAACCCAAUCAAAUCCUAAACCAAAUCUUAAUCAAACCCUAAACCAAAUCCUAAAUCCUAAAUCAAACUCUAAAACAAUCCUAAUCCAAAUCCUAAAUCCUAAAUAAAACCUUAACCAAAUCCUAAAUCAAUUCCUAAAUCCUAAAUCAAACUCUAAUACAAUCCUAAUCCAAAUCCUAAACCCUAAAUCAAAUCCUAAUUCAAAUCCUAAAUCCUAAACCAAACCCUAACCAAAUCCUAAACCCUAAAUAAAAUCCUAACCAAAUCCUAAACCAAAUCCUAAAUCCGAAACCAAACCCUAAUCAAACCCUAAAUCCUAAAUAAAAUCCUAACCAAAUCCUAAACCAAAUCCUAAUUCAAAUUCUAAAUCCUAAAUCAAACCCGAACCAAAUCCUAAACCCUAAAUCAAACCCUAAACCCCAAACCAAACCUUAAUCAAAUCCUAAUAAUUCCUAUAACAGAUUUAAACCUCAAUGACUAAUGAAUAAACUAUUGAUCUUAACUCAAAUUUUACACACUUCUAAAAAAAUGAGUUAAAAAUAAGCACAAAAAAAAUUGAAAAGGAUUAGAGUUACUAAAUUGAUGAUAACCUCAAAAAUGUACUUGGAUAAUGGCCGGCCUCCUUCUCCAAUCUUAAUGCCAAUCUUCCAAAGCCAAUAUCUCUCUUUUGCAUUGUUUGAUUGAUCUCAAAAUUCUCAUACACAUAAAAAAAUAAGUCCAAUAUCCUCUCAAAUAAUUUUCACUCCAUUCCAACUAGUAGAUUGCAAAAAAUCUCAAAAAUCCCCACUAGACCUAAAAUUCUACUCACUGAGACCUUGACCCACUUAAACCUCAAUAUCCCUCAUUUCAACUGUGAGGUCAA